AUGGUGGGCUCCGCGUCGCUAGCGCCUCUCAUUAGCCGGGUAGUCCACGGGAAGGGAGCGCGUCCCAGGUCGGCAACAGGAGGAAAAGGGAAAAGCAGCACCUCUGUCGGUUCCUCUCUCAGAAGUCACCUGCCUGGUACUGGAUGUGAGUCCCACAGCGUCGGAGGUUUUACUUUCUCUGCACAGUGGUUCCACAAAGGGUUUAUAUCUUGAUGCUUCAUGUGGACAGUGCAACAUCUACUGGCCUGAAUGCAAAAUGGUCAUCUACUGAAACGCGCAUGCUCACCAGCCAGCCUCGACCUGUCCUGUGUUGUAAUACCACUUUGUGACACUAGACGCCGUGUGGGUCAGUGGAGCGUCAAGUCUGCCCUCAGUCCCACGAAGAAGAACAACUACUUCCGGCAGCGCUUGAAGUUAGCAUCACAGAAACACAGGAAUGGCUGACCCUCCUAAAAGAUUAUAUUCAUCUGCAUCCCGAAGGACCGCUCCCACCAAGAAACCACGUUCAACGGCGAAGAAAAGAAGCAACACGAGUAAAUCUCGAUGUGGUUUUCCACCGCUGGAGAAGCUCUGAGAGUAAAGAGAUGCUGUUUGAUGCCGAGCUCACAACUUUCCUGUUAGCCUGGACCUGAGCCAGUACAGGUGCAAUACCGCCUCCACCUGUCUCACCAACAGCUGAGAGUCCAGACACAGUGAGGAGGGUCCAGGACCAGAAGUCCAGUCUAAUCAUCACCAGUGAUGGACCAGCACCUGCCUUUUCUUCUGCAUCUGGCCUCAUCAAUCAUCAACCACAUCACAUCAACACCUUGAGGGAAGAAUCCACCUCGGGCCAGAACCACACCUUGCCCAGCAAGAAAUGCUGGGGCGGCGCCAGGAGGUCAACUGGAAUCAGCUGUACAACCGUUGCAAUCACUCACCUGCUCCUCAUCUCACAAUCAAGCCACCUAAACUGCUGCAGGAUAAAAGACCAGUUCAUUCUUCCACUCCUCGCCAGAUCGUCCGUUACCCACCCGUGUUCCUGUGUCCUGCUUUCUGGCUCCGUUCCUCUCAUCAACCAGCUCUGCUUCAGCUACUCACCUUCUGGAAACUCCACAGCCUGGAUCCACAUCGGCCCUCAGUCCCCUUACUGGUUCUAUACAAAAUAAACUUGUGAUUCCCAUCCUAUUCGGUGUCCUGAGCCUGCAUCUUGUGGUCCUACAUUCAGUGAACCUAACACUGCACAGACAUCCACAAAAGCAUUUCUUUCCCUGUCUUUGUUUAACCUCACCACUGAGCAUUUGUCUUGAUUCAUAUUCUUCUUGAACAAAUACAAAUCUUGUCGCUGAACAUAAUUAUUUUUUUAUGUGCGCAAACUUGAAUUUUUCAUUCAGAUUAAUUUUGCAGGUUUAAAAAGGUUGAAUUAAACUACAAAAUGAGUUAUGCCAAACACAGAAGCACAGACACUUUCAAAAUAAGAGUCUCAAAAAGGUAAGCGGUCAUAGGUCAUAAAAGUUUGAUCUUAGAAGUGAUCGUCUCUAUGGGGAUAUAGUGGUAUAGACUUAUAGCAGAUCAACUUCUGUUGGGGCAUGAACAUGUGUGUGUACAUGAACAUGUGUGUGUACAUGUCUUGCUGUGGUUGUGGGGAACCAUUUGUGUUUAAACCAUCAGUGUGAGGUUAUUGUGUUCAGUCGUCACAGCUUCAGGCUUCCUGAGGGACAGCUGCAGUGACUGAGGUCAGUUUCAGGACGAGUCUCUACGACAUGAACGAAACUGAAAGUCACGUCCUUUGUACAGAUUGAAACGAGGAGUGAAGUUCAGGCACCAAGCAGCAGGAACAUUCAAAAGUUCUCCAGGAAUUUUCUAGUUGUUUAUUAUUCUCUUUCCUCAGUGUUCAGAUUCACUUUCUUGCUUUUUUGCUUCAUUUCUACUGUUGUUGAUGGACGACAGUAACAACAUGUGAAGAGCAGAAUGUGUUCAGCUCCAGCACAGUCACCACCUUCACAGGUGAAAGUAUCGACCAGUUUAACAUGAAACGGUGUUCAGCAGGAAACAGAUGGAACUGACCCACCAGAACUGCAACCUGGAGCAGAACCAGACUCUUCAUAGAUGUGAUGCUGUGACCUCAGAGACGGAUGUGUGACCUCACACACUCUUUAGUGUGAACUGAACACUGACAGUUCAGAUGGUGAAGCAGGUGUCAGUGUAGUACAGCUCAUGUUCAUUAGUUUUAUUCACAACUUCAUUGUUGUCAUUGAAAAGGUGUUUAAUAAAGAAACCUGUGAUUAAAUUGUA